rnacentral:rRNA from 1 species
UACGUAGGGUCCGAGCGUUGUCCGGAAUUAUUGGGCGUAAAGAGCUCGUAGGCGGUUUGUCGCGUCUGCUGUGAAAUCCCGAGGCUCAACCUCGGGCCUGCAGUGGGUACGGGCAGACUGGAGUGCGGUAGGGGAGAAUGGAAUUCCGGGUGGAGUGGUGAAAUGCGUAGAGAUCCGGAGGAACACCGAAGGCGAAGGCGGUCUGCUGGGCAGUAGCUGACACUGAGGCGCGACAGCGUGGGGAGCAAACAGG